rnacentral:tRNA from 1 species
GGGUUCGUAGCUCAGUUGGGAGAGCGCUGCAUUCGCAUUGCAGAGGUCGAGAGUUCAAAUCUCUUCGGAUCCACCA